rnacentral:rRNA from 1 species
GAUGAACGCUGGCGGCGUGCCUAAUACAUGCAAGUCGAGCGAACAGACGAGGAGCUUGCUCCUCUGACGUUAGCGGCGGACGGGUGAGUAACACGUGGAUAACCUACCUAUAAGACUGGGAUAACUUCGGGAAACCGGAGCUAAUACCGGAUAACAUGUUGAACCGCAUGGUUUAACAGUGAAAGACGGUCUUGCUGUCACUUAUAGAUGGAUCCGCGCCGCAUUAGCUAGUUGGUAAGGUAACGGCUUACCAAGGCAACGAUGCGUAGCCGACCUGAGAGGGUGAUCGGCCACACUGGAACUGAGACACGGUCCAGACUCCUACGGGAGGCAGCAGUAGGGAAUCUUCCGCAAUGGGCGAAAGCCUGACGGAGCAACGCCGCGUGAGUGAAGAAGGUCUUCGGAUCGUAAAACUCUGUUAUUAGGGAAGAACAAAUGUGUAAGUAACUAUGCACGUCUUGACGGUGCCUAAUCAGAAAGCCACGGCUAACUACGUGC